UCCGUGUUAACCACGGCAGUCUCUCUAGAGUGCCCAACUGAAUGCUGGCAACUAAAGAUAGGGGUUGCGCUCGUUGCGGGACUUAACCCAACAUGUCACCACACGAGCUGACGACAGCCAUGCAGCACCUGUCACCCUGUUCCCUUGCGGGAAAAACCGUAUCUCUACGGCUGUCAGGGGAUGUCAAGCCCAGGUAAGGUUCUUCGCGUUGCUUCGAAUUAAACCACAUGAUCCACCGCUUGUGCAGGCUCCCGUCAAUUUCUUUGAGUUUUAACCUUGCGGCCGUACUCCCCAGGCGGAUGACCUAACGCGUUAGCUGCGCCACCGAAACGCUAAGCGCCCCGACAGCUAGUCAUCAUCGUUUACGGCGUGGACUAC
rnacentral:misc_RNA from 1 species